AGUUUGACUGGGGCGGUCUCCUCCCAAAGAGUAACGGAGGAGCACGAAGGUGGGCUAAUCACGGUUGGACAUCGUGAGGUUAGUGCAAUGGCAUAAGCCCGCUUAACUGCGAGAAUGACGGUUCGAGCAGGUGCGAAAGCAGGUCAUAGUGAUCCGGUGGUUCUGUAUGGAAGGGCCAUCGCUCAACGGAUAAAAGGUACUCCGGGGAUAACAGGCUGAUACCGCCCAAGAGUUCAUAUCGACGGCGGUGUUUGGCACCUCGAUGUCGGCUCAUCACAUCCUGGGGCUGAAGUCGGUCCCAAGGGUAUGGCUGUUCGCCAUUUAAAGUGGUACGCGAGCUGGGUUUAGAACGUCGUGAGACAGUUCGGUCCCUAUCUGCCGUGGGCGUUGGAAGAUUGAAGGGGGCUGCUCCUAGUACGAGAGGACCGGAGUGGACGAACCUCUGGUGUUCGGGUUGUGUCGCCAGACGCAUUGCCCGGUAGCUAAGUUCGGAAUUGAUAAGCGCUGAAAGCAUCUAAGCGCGAAGCGAGCCCUGAGAUGAGUCUUCCCUGAUACUUUAAGUAUCCUAAAGGGUUGUUCGAG
rnacentral:rRNA from 1 species